AGCCUGGAGAACAAGAGUGAGACUCCAUCUCAAAAAAAAAGAAAAAAAAUAGGCAGAAUUAAAAGUGAAUUGUGUGCAAUUUAAGUGCUAAGAAGUAGCAUCAACUGGAUGUCAUCCCUUUCAUAUUUUCAUGAGUAACCUCAUCCCAAAAAAGAUUUCAGUCCAGGCUUCGUUAAUAUAAUCAUUGCUUAAAAAAUUCUUUGGGCUCAAACUGGAGAAGGAGAGAUUUUUUUCCUGUUGAAUUCAGAUGAAACUAGCAUCUUGGAAUGCUUGCUCUGGCAGGUAGAGAAGAGCAUAUAGAGGGAAUUGUGAGUAAGCCAGAUUAAUGCACCAGAAAAAGUAGAAACUGCACCAGAAAAAGUAGAAACUGCACCAGAAAAAGUAGAAACUGUACCAAGAACAGGAAGGACGGAUUGGCACCAGUGAAUUCAAACAAUAACCAGGUCUCAAGCAGUAGCCACCUCCAGUCUGAUACAAAGGAUUACUCCCUCCCCAGUGCCAGCUGGAGCCCCAUCAUGGUGAGGCUCUACAAUGAGUUCAUGGAGAAGACUGUGGAUGGGUCAUGGACAAGACUUCCAGGUUGUUGGUGCUCUGUGCAAUUCCUUAAAGAAGCAGACCUUACUAAGAUUGCUAAAGCUGUCCCUGCCAUCUUCUUACAAAUGAAGUGACGCAGAUGCAAGGUGCUGCAAGGCCCACCUCCUCCUGCUCUGACAGGCAGACAGGAAACCAAAG
rnacentral:lncRNA from 1 species